GGUGGGGUGACUGCGUACCUUUUGUAUAAUGGGUCAGCGACUUAUAUUCUGUAGCAAGGUUAACCGAAUAGGGGAGCCGGAGGGAAACCGAGUCUUAAUUGGGCGUUAAGUUGCAGGGUAUAGACCCGAAACCCGGUGAUCUAGCCAUGGGCAGGUUGAAGGUUGGGUAACACUAACUGGAGGACCGAACCGACUAAUGUUGAAAAAUUAGCGGAUGACCUGUGGCUGGGGGUGAAAGGCCAAUCAAACCGGGAGAUAGCUGGUUCUCCCCGAAAGCUAUUUAGGUAGCGCCUCGUGAAUUCAUCUCCGGGGGUAGAGCACUGUUUCGGCUAGGGGGCCAUCCCGGCUUACCAACCCGAUGCAAACUGCGAAUACCGGAGAAUGUUAUCACGGGAGACACACGGCGGGUGCUAACGUCCGUCGUGAAGAGGGAAACAACCCAGACCGCCAGCUAAGGUCCCAAAGUCAUGGUUAAGUGGGAAACGAUGUGGGAAGGCCCAGACAGCCAGGAUGUUGGCUUAGAAGCAGCCAUCAUUUAAAGAAAGCGUAAUAGCUCACUGGUCGAGUCGGCCUGCGCGGAAGAUGUAACGGGGCUAAACCAU
rnacentral:rRNA from 1 species